rnacentral:rRNA from 1 species
AUUGAACGCUGGCGGUAUGCUUAACACAUGCAAGUCGAACGGUAGCAGGCCUUCGGGCGCUGACGAGUGGCGGACGGGUGAGUAACGCGUAGGAAUCUGCCUCAUAGUGGGGGACAACGUGGGGAAACUCACGCUAAUACCGCAUACGCCCUACGGGGGAAAGCGGGGGCGCUUCGGACCUCGCGCUAUGAGAUGAGCCUGCGUUAGAUUAGCUAGUUGGUAGGGUAAAAGCCUACCAAGGCGACGAUCUAUAGCUGGUCUGAGAGGACGAUCAGCCACACUGGGACUGAGACACGGCCCAGACUCCUACGGGAGGCAGCAGUGGGGAAUAUUGGACAAUGGGCGCAGGCCUGAUCCAGCAAUACCGCGUGUGUGAAGAAGGCCCUAGGGUUGUAAAGCACUUUCAAUUGGGAGGAAAACCUGUCGGUCAAUACCCGGCAGCUUGACAUUACCUUUAGAAGAAGCACCGGCUAACUCCGUGCCAGCCGCCGCAGUAAAAC